rnacentral:rRNA from 1 species
UACGUAGGUGGCAAGCGUUGUCCGGAAUUAUUGGGCGUAAAGCGCGCGCAGGCGGGAUGGUCAGUCUAUCUUAAAAGUGCGGGGCUCAACCCCGUGAGGGGAUGGAAACUGCCAUUCUUGAGUGUCGGAGAGGAAAGUGGAAUUCCCAGUGUAGCGGUGAAAUGCGUAGAUAUUGGGAGGAACACCAGUGGCGAAGGCGACUUUCUGGACGAUGUCUGACGCUGAGGCGCGAAAGCUAGGGUAGUGAACGGGAUUAGAUACCCCGGUAAUCCUAGCCGUAAACGAUGGGUACUAGGUGUAGGGGGUAUCGACCCCUCCUGUGCCGGAGUUAACGCAAUAAGUACCCCGCCUGGGGAGUACGGCCGCAAGGUUGAA